UACAGAGGGUGCGAGCGUUUAAUCGGAAUUACUGGGCGUAAAGCGUGCGUAGGCGGUUCGUUAAGUCUGCUGUGAAAGCCCCCGGGCUCAACCUGGGGAAUGGCAGUGGAUACUGGCGAGCUAGAGUGUGAUAGAGGAUGGUGGAAUUCCCGGUGUAGCGGUGAAAUGCGUAGAGAUCGGGAGGAACAUCAGUGGCGAAGGCGGCCAUCUGGAUCAACACUGACGCUGAGGCACGAAAGCGUGGGGAGCAAACAGGG
rnacentral:rRNA from 1 species